GGAACAUCGCUCAUGCUCGCCGGGCAAUCGAGGAGGCGGCCGGGAAGGGUGCAAAGCUCGUCCUCUUACCUGAAAUUUGGAAUAGCCCAUAUUCAAAUGAUAGCUUCCCACAGUACGCCGAGGAUAUUGAAGGGGGUGCUGAUUCAGCUCCAUCAUAUUCAAUGCUCUCUGAAGCUGCUCGAAGUUUGCAGAUCACAAUUGUUGGUGGUUCAAUUCCAGAAAGGUCUGGUGAGCAUCUAUACAACACAUGUUGUGUC
rnacentral:misc_RNA from 1 species